rnacentral:lncRNA from 1 species
GCCGCUUCAGAGCAGCUUUAUUUGGAGGCUGCUCAGUUCUGCUUUAUUAUAGAUGUUCCCACACGCCCAUUUGCAUAAGUUUGUCUUGACAGUACCUGCAGAAAGAAUCCCUGGUGAUGAGCAGUGUUGAAGAUCCAUGUUCAGGAUUUUUG